rnacentral:rRNA from 1 species
CAGUAGCACGGUAAUACGUAGGGUGCAAGCGUUAAUCGGAAUUACUGGGCGUAAAGCGUGCGCAGGCGGUUAUAUAAGACAGAUGUGAAAUCCCCGGGCUCAACCUGGGAACUGCAUUUGUGACUGUAUAGCUAGAGUACGGCAGAGGGGGAUGGAAUUCCGCGUGUAGCAGUGAAAUGCGUAGAUAUGCGGAGGAACACCGAUGGCGAAGGCAAUCCCCUGGGCCUGUACUGACGCUCAUGCACGAAAGCGUGGGGAGCAAACAGGAUUAGAUACACCAGUAGUCCCUGUCUCUUAUACC